UGUCCGAUGGUGUAAUGGUAGCACAGAGGUCUUUGGAGCCUUUAGUCUAGGUUCGAAUCCUAGUCGGACAGCCA
rnacentral:tRNA from 2 species